rnacentral:rRNA from 1 species
GCGAAGCGGUGACGUGGAGCAAACCUCAGAAAGCCAAUCUCAGUUCGGAUUGUAGGCUGCAACUCGCCUACAUGAAGUUGGAAUCGCUAGUAAUCGCGAAUCAGAAUGUCGCGGUGAAUACGUUCCCGGGUCUUGUACACACCGCCCGUCACACCACGAGAGUUUACAACACCCGAAGUCAGUGGCCUAACCGCAAGGAGGGAGCUGCCUAAGGUGGGGUAGAUGAUUGGGGUGAAGUCGUAACAAGGUAAC